GGCUCGUUGGUCUAGGAGUAUGAUUCUCGCUUAGGGUGCGAGAGGUCCUGGGUUCAAAUCCCGGACGAGCCC
rnacentral:tRNA from 1 species